UACGGGGGGAGCAAGCGUUGUGCGGAUUUACUGGGCGUAAAGGGCGCGUAGGCGGCCACCGCAAGUCGGUUGUGAAAUCUCUGGGCUUAACCCAGAAAGGUCAACCGAUACUGCGGGGCUAGAGUGCAGAAGGGGCAACUGGAAUUCUCGGUGUAGCGGUGAAAUGCGUAGAUAUCCGGAGGAACACCGGUGGCGAAGGCGGCUUCCUGGACCGACACUGACGCUGAGGCGCGAAAGCUAGGGGAGCAAACGGG
rnacentral:rRNA from 1 species